rnacentral:rRNA from 1 species
UACAGAGGUCCCGAGCGUUGUUCGGAUUCACUGGGCGUAAAGGGUGCGUAGGCGGUUCUGAAAGUCUGAUGUGAAAUCUCCAGGCCCAACCUGGAAACGGCAUUAGAAACUACAGGGCUAGAGGCUUGGAGGGGGAACUGGAAUGCUCGGUGUAGCAGUGAAAUGCGUAGAGAUCGAGCGGAACACCAGUGGCGAAGGCGACUACCUGGCCUGUUCUUGACGCUGAGGCGCGAAAGCUAGGGGAGCAAACGGG